GCGGCUAUAUGUUAAUGGUAGACUACGAGAUUUCCAAUCUCUAAGUAUCUGUUCGAGUCAGAUUAGCCGUA
rnacentral:tRNA from 1 species